rnacentral:rRNA from 1 species
UACGUAGGGUGCAAGCGUUGUCCGGAAUUAUUGGGCGUAAAGAGCUCGUAGGCGGUUUGUCACGUCGGCUGUGAAAACCUGGGGCUCAACCCCGGGCCUGCAGCCGAUACGGGCAAGCUAGAGUUCGGCAGGGGAGACUGGAAUUCCUGGUGUAGCGGUGAAAUGCGCAGAUAUCAGGAGGAACACCGGUGGCGAAGGCGGGUCUCUGGGCCGAUACUGACGCUGAGACGUGAAAGCGUGGGGAGCAAACAGG